rnacentral:rRNA from 1 species
CCUACGGGUGGCUGCAGUGGGGAAUAUUGGACAAUGGGCGAAAGCCUGAUCCAGCAACGCCGCGUGAGGGAUGACGGCCUUCGGGUUGUAAACCUCUUUCAGCAGGGACGAAGCGAAAGUGACGGUACCUGCAGAAGAAGGACCGGCCAACUACGUGCCAGCAGCCGCGGUAAUACGUAGGGUCCGAGCGUUGUCCGGAAUUAUUGGGCGUAAAGGGCUCGUAGGCGGUUUGUCGCGUCGGGAGUGAAAACUCAGGGCUCAACCCUGAGCGUGCUUCCGAUACGGGCAGACUAGAGGUAUGCAGGGGAGAACGGAAUUCCUGGUGUAGCGGUGGAAUGCGCAGAUAUCAGGAGGAACACCGGUGGCGAAGGCGGGUCUCUGGGAAUUACCUGACGCUGAGGAGCGAAAGCAUGGGGAGCGAACAGGAUUAGAUACCCCGGUAGUC